rnacentral:rRNA from 1 species
UCCUACGGGAGGCAGCAGUGGGGAAUCAUGGUCAAUGGGCGAAAGCCUGAACCUGCGACGCCGCGUGAGUGAUGAAGGUCGUAAGAUCGUAAAACUCUUUUCAGGGAUAUUAAAGGCAGCGCUCUAACAGAGCGUCUGCUGUGACUCUCCCUGGAAUAAGCCCCAGCCAACUACGUGCCAGCAGCUGCGGUAAUACGUAGGGGGCGAGCGUUAUUCGGAAUUACUGGGUGUAAAGGGUAUGUAGGCGGCCUGUCAAGUCGCGUGUCAAAGUCCAGCGCUUAACGCUGGGUUCGCGCGUGAUACUGUCAGGCUUGAGGGCUGGAGAGGUGAGCGGAAUUCCCGGUGUAGUGGUAAAAUGCGUAGAUAUCGGGAGGAACACCAGUGGCGAAGGCGGCUUUCUGGUCUAUCUCUGACGUUGAGGAGCGAAAGCUAGGGGAGCAAACGGGAUUAGAUACCCCGGUAGUCCUAGCUGUAAACGAUGGAUACUAGGUGUGGGAGGUAUCGACCCCUUCUGUGCCGCAGCUAACGCAUUAAGUAUCCCGCCUGGGGAGUACGGUCGCAAGGCUGAAACUCAAAGGAAUUGACGGGGGCCCGCACAAGCGGUGGAGCAUGUGGUUUAAUUCGACGCAACGCGAAGAACCUUACCGGGACUUGACAUUAUCUUGUCAGUCUAAGAAAUUAGAUCUUCUUCCUUUCGGGGAAGACAGGAUAACAGGUGGUGCAUGGUUGUCGUCAGCUCGUGUCGUGAGAUGUUGGGUUAAGUCCCACAACGAGCGCAACCCUUAUGCUUAGUUGCUAACUUGUUUUACAAGUGCACUCUAAGCAGACUGCCGCAGAUAAAUCGGAGGAAGGUGGGGAUGACGUCAAAUCAUCAUGCCCUUUAUGUCCUGGGCUACACACGUGCUACAAUGGUCGGUACAACGAGUUGCUACCUAGUGAUAGGACGCUAAUCUCUAAAAGCCGAUCCCAGUUCGGAUUGUAGGCUGCAACUCGCCUACAUGAAGUUGGAGUUGCUAGUAAUCGCGAAUCAGAACGUCGCGGUGAAUGCGUUCCCGGGCCUUGUACACACCGCCAUCGGAUCCCCGG